AACAAUGUAGUUUAUUAUAAAAUACUUGUUUUACACUCAAGAGAACUUAAUUUUUAGCUUUGUUA
rnacentral:tRNA from 1 species